ACUUUGAAUCACGGUUUCCCGUACGAUCACCAAAGUUAAGCAACGUUUGAUUAGUACCUGGAUGGGUAACCGCUUGGGAAUACCAGCUGCUGUAG